rnacentral:rRNA from 1 species
UAGCCGUAAACGAUACUCGCUAGGUGUCGGCCACGGUGCGACCGUUGUCGGUGCCGUAGGGAAGCCGUGAAGCGAGCCACCUGGGAAGUACGGCCGCAAGGCUGAAACUUAAAGGAAUUGGCGGGGGGAGCACCACAACGGGUGGAGCUUGCGGUUUAAUUGGAUUCAACGCCGGAAAUCUUACCGGGACCGACAACAACAUGAAGGCCAGGCUGAAGACUUUGCCGGAUUAGCUGAGAGGAGGUGCAUGGCGUAGUCGUGU